UACGGAGGGUGCAAGCGUUAUCGAAUUACUGGGCGUAAAGGCGUGCGCAGGCGGUUUGUUAAGUCCGCUGUGAAAUCCCCGAGCUCAACUUGGGAAUUGCAGUGGAUACUGGCAAGCUGGAGUAUGGUAGAGGAAGGUGGAAUUCCCGGUGUAGCAGUGAAAUGCGUAGAUAUCGGGAGGAACACCGGUGGCGAAGGCGGGUCUCUGGGGCAGUAACUGACGCUGAGGAGCGAAAGCGUGGGGAGCGAACAGG
rnacentral:rRNA from 1 species